rnacentral:tRNA from 1 species
ACUUGAAUAGCUUAAUUUAAGAGCGUGACACUGAAGAUGUCAAUGAGGUAGUAUUGCCUUUAAGUA